UACGUAUGGUGCAAGCGUUAUCCGGAUUUACUGGGUGUAAAGGGAGCGUAGACGGAGAAGCAAGUCUGGAGUGAAAACCCGGGGCUCAACCCCGGGACUGCUUUGGAAACUGUUUUUCUUGAGUGCCGGAGAGGUAAGCGGAAUUCCUAGUGUAGCGGUGAAAUGCGUAGAUAUUAGGAGGAACACCAGUGGCGAAGGCGGCUUACUGGACGGUAACUGACGUUGAGGCUCGAAAGCGUGGGGAGCAAACAGG
rnacentral:rRNA from 1 species